UGGACCCGUAAUCCGGGUUGCGGACAGUGUCUGGUGGGUAGUUUGACUGGGGCGGUCUCCUCCUAAAGAGUAACGGAGGAGCACGAAGGUUGGCUAAUCCUGGUCGGACAUCAGGAGGUUAGUGCAAUGGCAUAAGCCAGCUUGACUGCGAGCGUGACGGCGCGAGCAGGUGCGAAAGCAGGUCAUAGUGAUCCGGUGGUUCUGAAUGGAAGGGCCAUCGCUCAACGGAUAAAAGGUACUCCGGGGAUAACAGGCUGAUACCGCCCAAGAGUUCAUAUCGACGGCGGUGUUUGGCACCUCGAUGUCGGCUCAUCACAUCCUGGGGCUGAAGUAGGUCCCAAGGGUAUGGCUGUUCGCCAUUUAAAGUGGUACGCGAGCUGGGUUUAGAACGUCGUGAGACAGUUCGGUCCCUAUCUGCCGUGGGCGCUGGAGAACUGAGGGGGGCUGCUCCUAGUACGAGAGGACCGGAGUGGACGCAUCACUGGUGUUCGGGUUGUCAUGCCAAUGGCACUGCCCGGUAGCUAAAUGCGGAAGAGAUAAGUGCUGAAAGCAUCUAAGCACGAAACUUGCCCCGA
rnacentral:rRNA from 10 species